CAGCAGCAUAUUAUAGCAAUUCAUAUAGUUAGAUGCAUUUAUCUUCAAAAUAUCUUCCACCGAGGAAAGUCACACAUGUUUGGAACGACCUGAGGACUUCAGUUCAUGCCGUUAUGAAAUCAGCACUCAGCUGGGAAGGCUUUUGAACUGUUUAUGCAGCAACUCGUUUGGACAAUGGCCUUCAGGCAGCAGUAAAACUCGCCUCCAGCAGGAACAUGAAUUCAUCAGCAUUGUAAGUAGGCUGCAGUUCUCUCAGUUUCUUCUCUGAAGUUACUGUUUUCAGUUUAAAACAUCUCUUAUUCAUCAU
ensembl:lncRNA